rnacentral:rRNA from 1 species
UACGUAGGGCGCAAGCGUUAUCCGGAAUUAUUGGGCGUAAAGAGCUCGUAGGCGGUUUGUCGCGUCUGCCGUGAAAGUCCGGGGCUCAACUCCGGAUCUGCGGUGGGUACGGGCAGACUAGAGUGAUGUAGGGGAGACUGGAAUUCCUGGUGUAGCGGUGAAAUGCGCAGAUAUCAGGAGGAACACCGAUGGCGAAGGCGGGUCUCUGGGCAGUAACUGACGCUGAGGAGCGAAAGCGUGGGGAGCGAACAGG